CCCAGUGUUUGAAAUCGAAACAUUUUUCUGAAUUUGGUAAAUUUACAUUACCCAAAUUUUCCGUGGAUUUCGGCCCUAGUGUGGAUGGAAUUGUGAUAAAGUCUAAUUUUAGGGUGAAACAAAUUUAAUUUUUUAAAUUAUGAAUUAUUUUAAACUCAUUUUGAUAAUUGUCACAAAUAACAAAUAUCAAAUAACACUACUGUCAAACGGCAUACUUAGCGUAAAAUUUACAACGGCCUGACGUGGAUUCGUAUCUGUGUUAAAUACAGAAUUUUCGAAUUCCGUCAUCCCAUUCUAAGAUUCGGAAUUUGAUAGCCUUUUGUAAUUGGAUGUCCAUCUGAUGACCCAACUCCUAUAUUACUUGGAAGGUCGAGAAUUAAAUGACGGAAUAAAGCAAUUUGGCCAAAUGUUCUAGAAUUAUUGGGUAAUGUGAUAUUCUUUGGGAAAUUCUUGUCUGACUGGGAAUGACAGGAGAUUACAGUGAUGAAAUGUAAUAAGGAUUGACAUUUUGUCUACUUUUGCAGAUAAACAGCCCUCCGCCCAUGGGUAAGCGGGAAGUUGGAAAGAAAUACGAUAUCCUCGUGGGGUUAUCUUCGUUGGAGAAGUUGACCGAGUUUAGCGAGGUUUGUGAAAUAUUUUGAGAAAUUCCUACAUGGAGUGGUAAAAUGAUUAAUUUGGAAGAUUGUAUUUAAUUUAAUUUCAUGGAUGUGGAGUAGUCUAAACUUUUCACUUCUUGUAAUACGUAGUACGUAAAACAUGCUUGAGACUGGGACUUUUGUCAUAAGGAAUUAGACCACGAAUUACCUAAAUAAGCAAUUUUUAUUCCAACAUUCUGAGAUUUUCUAAAUUGGCGUGACAAUUAUACUUCCACCUUCGUUUCAAAAAAUUAAAUUUCGAAAACUUAAGUAUUAAUUUUUUCGCGAUUUUUUUAACGCUAAAGUUUCCUGUAACUCGCAGAAAAAUAUAUUUUUGGCAAAUUUAAAUCUUGUGUUAUAAUAUUAAAUGAAAAAGUGAAACCCUACCAAGCAAAAAGUAAUGUCAAUGUUAUCUCGAUUUUUAUCUCCAUGUUUUUACUACCCUGUCGUCGCAUUUGUUGAAUCUUGAGAUUCUUGUUGAGUCUCUUUCAUUUAAGUUUACAAGAAAAGUUUGACUCCCUUGUGAGGGUUGCACCUAUCUGUGGGAGGUUCACUGUCCCUCUACUUCCUCUCUAUUCUCGUCCCUGCUCUCUCUCUCGGGUGGGUGUGCCGGAUGGAGAUGAUGAGAUGGAUGGAUGGAUGGAUGAAGUCAAGGGAUGAAGGUAUGGGUGGUGAUGAUGGCCAAGCAGAAAAUGGCAAAUAAGAUGAAGGAAGACAGGAAUUCUGCUGCUUUACUCGUCCACUCUUUAUUCCAUACUGACUUCUCUUUCUCUCUUACAUUGUAUCAUGACGGCGUGUUAUUGUGGAGUUGGUUCGGCUGUCUGAAUGUAGAUGAUGGAUCUGGAAUUCGGGUUUGAGUCCCAUCGUCGGGACGCGAUAUUGCGAACGCUUGUCCGAAACUCGUACAGGUUCCAUAGAAACGAAAUUUUGACAACUAUCACCAACGAAUAUACCGACUGGGAGAGGACUGCCCAACAUCCCAUAAACACGAGAGACCUGGCCAUCAAUGCCGUAACUGAUUGUCUCGCCCUCGCCCCCUGGUGACAGUUUUGGACUCGUCAUUAGUGAAGAAAGCUUUUUUCUUCGUUUUCGAACACUCGACGAAAGAUGGCUUGUACAAUUAUCAUGUAAGUGAAAUGACACAUAAACAGAAUUAUUCUAUUAAGAAUAUGGACAAGGUUUUCUUUAAUAAAAAGAAUUGUAUGUUCUGUUUCCGAAAAAAAAUAUUCUUCCCCGGUAACUUUAUAUUUUAUAAAAUGUGGAACUUUAGAAAUAUUUUGUGUGUGGAAUAAAUUCCUCGGGAUUUUUGAAGCCAUA